rnacentral:sRNA from 1 species
UAUUCUGCCCCACGGGGAAGGAUGAGAAGCUUCGACUACGGUUCGACUCGAGCGUAGCGAGAGAACGUUGCCGCAGGCCACGGCCCGAAGGGCGAGGCGCGUUAGCGCCGAGUCAUCCUUCCCCCACCAUUC